CUAAGGACCACAUCAUUUCUGCUUGGUCUUCUGGCCUGGAAUAAUGGUUGAGGGACUUGGUUCUGGUACCUUGGUGUAGCCAGGCUGAAGGACCUCAGAGUAGGCUGGCUCAGGGACCUUGAUGUGGCCUGAUUCAG